rnacentral:lncRNA from 1 species
AGGAACACAUGAGCCAGCAAAAACUUCUCAAGGAACACAUGAGCCAGCAAAAACUUCUCAAGGAACACAUGAGCCAGCAAAAACUUCUCAAGAAUCACAUGAGCCAGCAGAAACUUCUCAAGGAACACAUGAGCCAGCAAAAGUUUCUCAAGAAACACAUGAGCCAGCAGAAACUUCCGAAGG